CAGCUUCUCAACCUCCUUUUUUAACCGUGGUGCCCAGAACUGGACACAGCAUGCCAGGAGCCUGUCCAUCCCUAACAUCUUCAGGAGAGACCUUUUUCUCAGACCCACAAGUUUGGUGGGAAGAAUGAACCAAGAGGUCUUCUUGAUGGCUGCUCCUAGGUUUUGGAAACUCCCUCCUUAGAAAGGCCAGAAUGGUUCCCUCCUUGCUGUCCUUCAACUGGAUCGAUGUGAAAAGGGAACUGUGGGUGAGGAGUACCGCACUCUUUCCCUCCGCAAUCACAACUUAUGGAUUAUCGAAAUCAUUCUGCAUCAGAGAAAGAAAAUAGAAUGAGCAGAUUAGAAAGUCAAAGAGGAAAGAACAGCGGGCAUUUUUCAACCACUGAAGACCUGAACAUUUUUAAAGACUUUUUCACACGGAGGAAUGUAUCACUGUCCCGAAAGAAGAAGAAGAAGGGGGAAGGGAGCAAUCCGAAAAUGCAAGAAAUUACCUAGUAGCUUAUCACACACACAGGCAAACACAUCGUCCAUCUGAAACAGAAAGCAGUGUGAAUGCGAAUGAAUGAAUCACAUGAGUAUGUACUCAUUGGCUUCUUGAUUUCAAAUAAACAUGUUUGUGCAUGCGCACAGAGGACAGGAUCCCAUGGCCAACAGUAAUCCCAUGGCUGAACUGGAGAUGCAUUUCAUACUGACACAAAUGAGAAUUGGUUGUGAAUUCAUAGUGGAAAAGGAUUUAUAAAUUCAAUAUUUUUUCCAAAUUCAGCUAUUACUGGGAUGUCUCAAGACUGCAUUUGGAUUAUGUUCCAUUUGUGUGCGACAUCGUUUGAAAAUCUUUUAUGAAAUUAUGUGAAAUACAUUGAAUGACCCCAAAUUAACCUUUGGGUAAACUUCCAAUUUUCCCCGUUUGAUAAAGUCCUAAGACUUUUUUUUCUGUCAAAUGAGAGGAUGCUGUUGAAGAUGGAAAGACAGCCCU